rnacentral:rRNA from 1 species
UGCCAGCCGCCGCGGUAAUACAGAGGUGACAAACGUUGUCCGGAAUCACUGGGCGUAAAGGGCAUGCAGGCGGUUUGGUAAGUCAGGUGUGAAAUCUUCGGGCUCAACCCGGAAAUUGCACUUGAUACUGCUAAACUUGAGUUCGGUAGAGGAGGGCGGAAUUCCUGGUGUAGCGGUGAAAUGCGUAGAUAUCAGGAGGAACACCGGUGGCGAAGGCGGCCCUCUGGUCCGAUACUGACACUGAGAUGCGAAAGUGUGGGGAGCAAACAGUAUUAGAUA